rnacentral:ncRNA from 2 species
GGUCAUGAGUGUCAGCGUCAAGCCCCGGCUUGCUGAACGGCAACCCUCCAACCGCGGUGGGGUGCUCCGGGUGAUGACCAGGUUGUGGGGGUGCGUUCGCGUUCCUCCCCGGCAAGCGCGGGUC